AUUCCAGCUCCAAUAGCGUAUAUUAAAGUUGUUGCAGUUAAAAAGCUCGUAGUUGGAUUUCUGGGAGGGUGCCGAUGUCCACUUAACGUGUGCGCAGCGGCGCCCUCUCAUCCUUCUGUUAGCGUCUCUUGGCAUUCAUUUGCUGGUGGCGGGCUCAGAUAUUUUACCUUGAGAAAAUUAGAGUGUUUCAGGCAGGCUAGGCCGGAAUACAUUAGCAUGGAAUAAUGGAAUAGGACUACGGUCUCUUUGUUGGUUUGAGGGACUGCAGUAAUGAUUAAUAGGGAUAGUUGGGGGCAUUAGUAUUUAAUUGUCAGAGGUGGAAUUCUCGGAUUUGUUAAAGACUAACUUAUGCGAAAGCAUUUGCCAAGGAUGUUUUCAUCG
rnacentral:rRNA from 1 species